CAGUCAUAUCAUGUUGAAACCCCAGUUCUCUUACAAUCACUGAAGUUAAGCAAUGUUGAGCCUGGUCAGUACCUAGAUGAGUGACUGUUUGGAAAUACCAGGUGCUGUAAG
rnacentral:rRNA from 1 species